GUGCUCACUUCAGGAGCACAUAUACUAAAUUUGGAAUGAUACAGAGAAGAUUAGCAUGGCUUCUGUGCAAGGAUGACCCACAAAUUCGUGAAGCAGUCCGUAUUUUU
rnacentral:snRNA from 1 species